AAAAGAAGGCGGGACUUCAAGCAAGGUGUUUCAGGCAGAGUGAGUGAGUUUCUGUGGGGGAAAGUAGCUCCCUUUGGCGUGAGCUUUGUAACUUUGCAGAUCUUUUACAUGCACAAAAAACUAUAUAACACACUAAAGGAAAGGG